ACAGCGGAAGCAAAAUCCACAACCGAAGCCCUAAUUUUUACGGAGGAUUCUCUCGAUUUAUUCGAUGUCCAAGUCCUGAUUUCCAACUGUUGAAGUUUUUGUACUGAGUGUUCGGAAGAGGUUUUCUCUUCAGUGGAAAUGAACGAGUUUUGCUCCAAAUCCCUAAUGUCAAUCAUGAUGCAGGAAAUUCAAAUAAAUUCACAAACAUAAUCUAAUAGAUGGGUAAAAGAACUCAAUUUUUUCUCCAUUAACGAAGAAAGCAUUAGGAUGCUUGAUGGAAACAAAGUUCAGAGAGAAACCGAAUUGAGUUCUCAAUAGAGAAGAGGGGAAGAUCAUAAGAGGCGUAGUACUAGAAUUCCAAAUUCUAUACAUAUGUAAUGUUGUUUUUCUUGAUGAUGUUGUGAAGCACAAGUGCUACAUUUAAAGGUAAAUGUUUUACCUUACUAUUUAUUAGGAUCAAAGUUGUCUUUUUAUUUUAAAGUCAAUAUUUUGAUUUGAUUUACUAUUCAAUUCGAAAUUUUGUUUUGUUAUCUCCUUGACAAUUGUUUAUGUUGCUACAUUUGCAGGGAAAAGUUGUAUCAGGUAUGAAAUAUUCACUUUCUUACACAAUUUGUUUUAUUAGGAUUUCAAGUUGUCUUUUUAGCUUAGCGUCAAUAUUUAGCUAAUCACAUUUAUCUUGUCUUGGACUACUUUUGUGUACUAUGCAGCUAGUAUUCAGGAUGUCAUCUACGUGGUAUAAGUAAACCACAAGCAUAUGUCGAUUGGAGAGACUGGAGAGACGGUGUGUGUUGCACUUAUAGAAUAGGAUUGAUGUAUUUUAAAUUUUGACAGUGUUUCAAAUUGCUUUCAAAACAGUAUUGCUACAGUCUGUGAUACAAAUUUGUAACAUUGUAUGCUGAAUUUUUAUAUCUAAUUGUUAUUUUUUUUUGGUAU